UACGUAGGGGGCUAGCGUUGUCCGGAAUCAUUGGGCGUAAAGCGCGUGUAGGCGGCCCGGUAAGUCCGCUGUGAAAGUCGGGGGCUCAACCCUCGGAUGCCGGUGGAGUACUGUCGGGCUUGAGUACGGAAGAGGCGAGUGGAAUUCCUGGUGUAGCGGUGAAAUGCGCAGAUAUCAGGAGGAACACCGAUUGCGAAGGCAGCUCCGCUGGGACGUUACUGACGCUGAGACGCGAAAGCGUGGGGAGCAAACAGG
rnacentral:rRNA from 1 species